rnacentral:rRNA from 1 species
GACGAACGCUGGCGGCGUGCUUAACACAUGCAAGUCGAGCGGUAAGGCUCCUUCGGGAGUACACGAGCGGCGAACGGGUGAGUAACACGUGAGCAAUCUGCCCUUCACUUUGGGAUAACUUCCGGAAACGGAAGCUAAUACCGAAUACGACCACUUCAGGCAUCUGAUGGUGGUGGAAAGUUCCGGCGGUGAAGGAUGAGCUCGCGGCCUAUCAGCUUGUUGGUGAGGUAAUGGCUCACCAAGGCUUCGACGGGUAGCCGGCCUGAGAGG